rnacentral:ncRNA from 1 species
CCAGGGGGCGCUCAUGUGCGUGAGCUGAGAGAGAACCCCUAGAACCUGAUCCAGGUAAUGCUGGCGGAGGGAAUGGCGGA